CCUACGGGAGGUAGCAGUGAGGAAUAUUGGUCAAUGGCCGCAAGGCUGAACCAGCGACGUCGCGUGAGGGAUGAAGGGCCUAUGGAUUGUAAGCCUCUUUUGUGGGGAAGCAAAGGGCGCCACGUGUGGCGUUUUGCGAGUACCUGAAGAAAGAGCAUCGGCUAACUCCGUGCCAGCAGCCGCGGUAAUACGGAGGAUGCGAGCGUUAUCCGGAUUUAUUGGGUUUAAAGGGUGCGCAGGCGGAAUGUCAAGUCAGCGGUAAAAUUUCGGGGCUCAACCCCGUCGUGCCGUUGAAACUGGCGUGCUUGAGUGAGCGAGAAGUAUGCGGAAUGCGUGGUGUAGCGGUGAAAUGCAUAGAUAUCACGCAGAACUCCGAUGGCGAAGGCAGCAUACCGGCGCUCAACUGACGUGCAUGCACGAAAGCGUGGGUAUCGAACAGGAUUAGAUACCCUUGUAGUC
rnacentral:rRNA from 1 species